GAUGGACGCUGGCGGCGUGCCUAAUACAUGCAAGUCGAGCGAACAGACGAGGAGCUUGCUCCUCUGACGUUAGCGGCGGACGGGUGAGUAACACGUGGAUAACCUACCUAUAAAACUGGGAUAACUUCGGGAAACCGGAGCUAAUACCGGAUAAUAUAUUGAACCGCAUGGUUCAAUAGUGAAAGACGGUUUUGCUGUCACUUAUAGAUGGAUCCGCGCCGCAUUAGCUAGUUGGUAAGGUAACGGCUUACCAAGGCAACGAUGCGUAGCCGACCUGAGAGGGGGAUCGGCCACACUGGAACUGAGACACGGUCCAGACUCCUACGGGAGGCAGCAGUAGGGAAUCUUCAGCAAUGGGCGAAAGCCUGACGGAGCAACGCCGCGUGAGUGAUGAAGGUCUUCGGAUCGUAAAACUCUGUUAUUAGGGAAGACCAAAUGUGUAAGUAACUAUGCCCGUCUUGACGGUACCUAAUCAGAAAGCCACGGCUAACCACGUG
rnacentral:rRNA from 1 species